ACGGGAGGCAGCAGUGGGGAAUAUUGGACAAUGGGGGAAACCCUGAUCCAGCGACGCCGCGUGAGUGAAGAAGUAUUUCGGUAUGUAAAGCUCUUUAAGCAGGAAAGAAAAUGACGGUACCUGCAGAAUAAGCCCCGGCUAACUACGUGCCAGCAGCCGCGGUAAUACGUAGGGGGCAAGCGUUAUCCGGAUUUACUGGGUGUAAAGGGAGCGUAGACGGCAAUGUAAGUCUGAAGUGAAAGCCCCGGGCUCAACCCGGGAACUGCUUUGGAAACUGUAUAGCUAGAGUGCAGGAGAGGUAAGUGGAAUUCCUAGUGUAGCGGUGAAAUGCGUAGAUAUUAGGAGGAACACCAGUGGCGAAGGCGGCUUACUGGACUGUAACUGACGUUGAGGCUCGAAAGCGUGGGGAGCAAACAGGAUUAGAUACCCUGGUA
rnacentral:rRNA from 1 species